GGCAAUCCACUGGAAUAGUGCUGAGACAAAUGGAAACUUGAAGAUAAGGAUCCUCGGAGGUGAAAACAUACAGCUGUUGGGAAUUGCGAAAGAAUCCGGCCAAUAAAGGAAGUCACUAUUUUUCCAGGCCUGAAGUGAGUUAUAGGCAGAGACGGGUGUUGUAUAUUUAUGUAAGGCUGCAGCAGGGAGCUCGAGCGACUGUAUAUUGCUGAAAGAGCAUCAUUCACAUUCAACCUGAGACAAAAGCAUCCAGGAAGCUUUGAACCACAACAGAACAAACAAAACUUGCUGUUCCCAGACAAAUGGCCAACUUGCUGUGCCCUGUGGAAUUUGGACCCAGUUUAAAACUCCACUGGCAAAGAAGAAACUAAACUGAAAAAGGUACAAUAGACAACUUUCUGUCU
rnacentral:lncRNA from 1 species